CAGCAGCCGCGGUAAUACGUAGGUGGCAAGCGUUGUCCGGAAUUAUUGGGCGUAAAGGGCUCGCAGGCGGUUUCUUAAGUCUGAUGUGAAAGCCCCCGGCUCAACCGGGGAGGGUCAUUGGAAACUGGGAAACUUGAGUGCAGAAGAGGAGAGUGGAAUUCCACGUGUAGCGGUGAAAUUCGUAGAGAUGUGGAGGAACACCAGUGGCGAAGGCGACUCUCUGGUCUGUAACUGACGCUGAGGAGCGAAAGCGUGGGGAGCGAACAGGAUUAGAUACCCCAGUAGUCCCUGUCUCUUAUAC
rnacentral:rRNA from 1 species